rnacentral:lncRNA from 1 species
CUGAAUUUUCCAUCAGAUCACGGCCAUAUUAUUAAAAGCUUGCGGUAAGAAGGGGUUUCGUUCUAGUGCCCGGAAAUAAUAUUCCAAAGCCUUUGUAUGCUCUCCAUUGCUUGUGUGUAUAAGGCCUAUGUUAUAGAGUAUAUAACUUCGAUCAUAGGGAUCGAUUUCUAGUCGCGUAGCUUCAUAAUAAUUUUGCAAAGCUUCCGCAUAAUUUCCUUCGGAUUGAGCCAACAUCCGUUACGGUCGUUCAUUCUAUUCAAAAAAUCUCCGUUCCAAAACCGUACAUGAGGUUUUCAUCUCAUACGGCUCCUCCCUUCUGUACAUAAUAGUACUAAGCGAAAUAAUCUAUAGACUCAAAAUAGAAUUAGUCCCGUCUCAUUAUGAACCGAAAGGGGCUGGUAUUUUUCCAAGAAAUCUCUAGCCAACCUUCCCACAAGAGGUUUUUCUUAACACCAAUGAAUUCUAUUAAUGCUAGAGGAAAACGAUAGCUCCAAUAAUUUCUUUGUUCUCAACGCCUCCUAUUUAGAGGAAUUAGCUACUUCAACGAUCUUUGAUGGUUAUAGGGGUAUCCAAAGUACAAACCUGAUGGUUGUUUGUUAUCCCAACCAUUCUUCCCAGCCCUGAUACCGAUCAGGAAAGGGGUAAUUUCUAACAAAGUUUUUCUCUUGUUGAUUCCUAUUUCUAGGUGUAGUGCUUUUCUCCCCUAUGCUGCCUACGGAUACUAAUAGAGUAGGAUUGGCCUGUAAUCCAUACCAUACCAUAUCCUGUAGGUGUAACCUUUCGCUCAAUACUCAAAUCUACAAUUGAAGUAUCUGAAGCCGCAUCAAUCGAGGGUACACGACGGAAGGAAUUGUUAGUUCGCCUCACCUUCCCGAAGCGUGGGUUUGUUUGCUUUACAAAUUUGGUUCUCUCUAUGCCAACCCCUUCUCUUUUUCGUAAGACUGAGGUAUAGGUAGGGCUAAAAAAAAGCAAAAAAAAGAGUCAAAUCGCACCAUCUCUAUAAUAAGUAAAUGCCUUUUUUUCUCCUGAGGUUGUCGGAAUUAUUCGCAAUAAAAUAUUGGCUACAAUUGAGGAGGUCUUAUCAAUGAAAUUUCCAUUUACACGGGAUCUAGGCAUAAUUCCCAACCCAUUCUAUAUAGAAUUGUUUUCAUUCCUUCACAAAAUAACAUAAAAACAAACACAUUCGAUUCUUAUAAUUAUAAAUAAAUUGAUCCAUAUGCUCUACUCUAAAUCCAUAUGCUUUAAAUGGAUAAGAGAGAUAUGGAUUUUCCGCUCAGCUCAAAUUGUAUCCUUUCGCUCAAUACUCAAAUCUACAAUUGAAGUAUCUGAAGCCGCAUCAAUCGAGGAUACACGACGGAAGGAAUUGUUAGUUCGCCUCACCUUCCCGAAGCGUGGGUUUGUUUGCUUUACAAAUUUGGUUCUCUCUAUGCCAACCCCUUCUCUUUUUCGUAAGACUGAGGUAUAGGUAGGGCUAAAAAAAAGCAAAAAAAAGAGUCAAAUCGCACCAUCUCUAUAAUAAGUAAAUGCCUUUUUUUCUCCUGAGGUUGUCGGAAUUAUUCGCAAUAAAAUAUUGGCUACAAUUGAGGAGGUCUUAUCAAUGAAAUUUCCAUUUACACGGGAUCUAGGCAUAAUUCCCAACCCAUUCUAUAUAGAAUUGUUUUCAUUCCUUCACAAAAUAACUUUGAAAACACGAAAUAGUUGAUAACAUAAGUUGUUGUUCAGAAAUAGGAAAGUGGAAUGAAAUCCAGUCUUAGUCAAAUAUUUCAUAUCUCUUCGUGUCCAAGCAGAAGGAAAAGGAUACAAUUUGAGCUGAGCGGAAAAUCCAUAUCUCUCUUAUCCAUUUAAAGCAUAUGGAUUUAGAGUAGAGCAUAUGGAUCAAUUUAUUUAUAAUUAUAAGAAUCGAAUGUGUUUGUUUUUAUGUUAUUUUGUGAAGGAAUGAAAACAAUUCUAUAUAGAAUGGGUUGGGAAUUAUGCCUAGAUCCCGUGUAAAUGGAAAUUUCAUUGAUAAGACCUCCUCAAUUGUAGCCAAUAUUUUAUUGCGAAUAAUUCCGACAACCUCAGGAGAAAAAAAGGCAUUUACUUAUUAUAGAGAUGGUGCGAUUUGACUUUUUUUUGCUUUUUUUUAGCCCUACCUAUACCUCAGUCUUACGAAAAAGAGAAGGGGUUGGCAUAGAGAGAACCAAAUUUGUAAAGCAAACAAACCCACGCUUCGGGAAGGUGAGGCGAACUAACAAUUCCUUCCGUCGUGUAUCCUCGAUUGAUGCGGCUUCAGAUACUUCAAUUGUAGAUUUGAGUAUUGAGCGAAAGGUUACACCUACAGGAUAUGGUAUGGUAUGGAUUACAGGCCAAUCCUACUCUAUUAGUAUCCGUAGGCAGCAUAGGGGAGAAAAGCACUACACCUAGAAAUAGGAAUCAACAAGAGAAAAACUUUGUUAGAAAUUACCCCUUUCCUGAUCGGUAUCAGGGCUGGGAAGAAUGGUUGGGAUAACAAACAACCAUCAGGUUUGUACUUUGGAUACCCCUAUAACCAUCAAAGAUCGUUGAAGUAGCUAAUUCCUCUAAAUAGGAGGCGUUGAGCACAAAGAAAUUAUUGGAGCUAUCGUUUUCCUCUAGCAUUAAUAGAAUUCAUUGGUGUUAAGAAAAACCUCUUGUGGGAAGGUUGGCUAGAGAUUUCUUGGAAAAAUACCAGCCCCUUUCGGUUCAUAAUGAGACGGGACUAAUUCUAUUUUGAUUCUAUAGAUUAUUUCGCUUAGUACUAUUAUGUACAGAAGGGAGGAGCCGUAUGAGAUGAAAACCUCAUGUACGGUUUUGGAACGGAGAUUUUUUGAAUAGAAUGAACGACCGUAACGGAUGUUGGCUCAAUCCGAAGGAAAUUAUGCGGAAGCUUUGCAAAAUUAUUAUGAAGCUACGCGACUAGAAAUCGAUCCCUAUGAUCGAAGUUAUAUACUCUAUAACAUAGGCCUUAUACACACAAGAGGUUUUUCUUAACACCAAUGAAUUCUAUUAAUGCUAGAGGAAAACGAUAGCUCCAAUAAUUUCUUUGUUCUCAACGCCUCCUAUUUAGAGGAAUUAGCUACUUCAACGAUCUUUGAUGGUUAUAGGGGUAUCCAAAGUACAAACCUGAUGGUUGUUUGUUAUCCCAACCAUUCUUCCCAGCCCUGAUACCGAUCAGGAAAGGGGUAAUUUCUAACAAAGUUUUUCUCUUGUUGAUUCCUAUUUCUAGGUGUAGUGCUUUUCUCCCCUAUGCUGCCUACGGAUACUAAUAGAGUAGGAUUGGCCUGUAAUCCAUACCAUACCAUAUCCUGUAGGUGUAACCUUUCGCUCAAUACUCAAAUCUACAAUUGAAGUAUCUGAAGCCGCAUCAAUCGAGGAUACACGACGGAAGGAAUUGUUAGUUCGCCUCACCUUCCCGAAGCGUGGGUUUGUUUUCUUUACAAAUUCUGAUCAGGAAAAAUACAAAAUUAUGUCAGUUAUUUUGAAGUUAUUCUAAUCUCGUACACACACAAAUUUGCAAUUAUUCAUCUACUACUGGAAUUUGGAUUUAUUUUAUCGAUGCAAAUUGGAUUUGGAUAGAAGGGUACAUUCUUUCUAAUAUUUUAGAUAGAAGAAAUGUUUCUUCUAUCUAAAAUAUUAGAAAGAAUUUUGCUGAUUUAUUUAUUGCUAUAUGCAAUUUAUGGAAUUGAUACACCAUUUAAUUGAUAUCAUUUAGCAAAAUGAAACACAGCAUAUGCAUCCAUCUUUUGGCUCGAGAAUUUCACGGGAUAGAGAUAUGGUAUAAGAAAUAGACUAUUAAGUAACUCUAAAUGAAUUGUGGAUACAUCUGUAUCCUUAACAUACUGAAACGAUUGUCAUUAUUCGUAUCAAACCAAUAGCGAUUCAUACAAGCUAAAUCUUCUAAUCAAUGGUGGGCCAAUAAUGCAUUUUUUUGCAUAUGUAUUAAGACGCUUGGCCUGAUUUCGAAAUUGUCCAGAGUUUCAGAAUCAAUUGGCAAGGGGUCGACGAUUAAGGGAAUUGCUUAAACAAUCCCAGGCAAAUCCUCUCCCAGUGGAAGAGCAGAUAGCUACUAUUUAUACCGGAACAAAAGGAUAUCUUGAUUCAUUAGAAAUUGAACAGGUAAAUAAAUUUCUGGAUGAGUUACGUAAACAUCUAAAAGAUACUAAACCUCAAUUCCAAGAAAUUAUAUCUUCUAGCAAGACAUUCACCGAGCAAGCGGAAAUCCUUUUGAAGGAAGCUAUUCAGGAACAGCUGGAACGGUUUUCUCUUCAGUAACAAAUAAAUUUUGCAUGUCUAAGUGAAACAGAGAUUCCUAAAGGCAUACCAUCAGAAAAGCUUCCUUGACCAAUAGGGUAAAUCAAGAAAACAGCAGUAGCAGCUGCAACAGGAGCUGAAUAUGCAACAGCAAUCCAAGGACGCAUACCCAGACGGAAACUAAGUUCCCACUCACGACCCAUAUAACAAGCUACACCAAGUAAGAAGUGUAGAACAAUUAGCUCAUAAGGACCACCAUUGUAUAACCACUCAUCAACAGAUGCAGCUUCCCAAAUUGGGUAAAAGUGCAAUCCGAUCGCCGCAGAAGUAGGGAUAAUAGCACCAGAGAUAAUAUUGUUUCCAUAAAGUAAAGAACCAGAAACAGGCUCACGAAUACCAUCAAUAUCUACUGGAGGGGCAGCGAUGAAGGCGAUAAUAAAUACAGAAGUUGCGGUCC